rnacentral:rRNA from 1 species
UGGGGAAUUUUGGACAAUGGGCGAAAGCCUGAUCCAGCAAUGCCGCGUGUGUGAAGAAGGCCUUCGGGUUGUAAAGCACUUUUGUCCGGAAAGAAAUCCUUGGCUCUAAUACAGUCGGGGGAUGACGGUACCGGAAGAAUAAGCACCGGCUAACUACGUGCCAGCAGCCGCGGUAAUACGUAGGGUGCAAGCGUUAAUCGGAAUUACUGGGCGUAAAGCGUGCGCAGGCGGUUUGCUAAGACCGAUGUGAAAUCCCCGGGCUCAACCUGGGAACUGCAUUGGUGACUGGCAGGCUAGAGUAUGGCAGAGGGGGGUAGAAUUCCACGUGUAGCAGUGAAAUGCGUAGAGAUGUGGAGGAAUACCGAUGGCGAAGGCAGCCCCCUGGGUCAAUACUGACGCUCAUGCACGAAAGCGUGGGGAGCAAACAGGAUUAGAUACCCUGGUAGUCCACGCCCUAAACGAUGUCAACUAGUUGUUGGGGAUUCAUUUCCUUAGUAACGUAGCUAACGCGUGAAGUUGACCGCCUGGGGAGUACGGUCGCAAGAUU